UACGGGAGGCAGCAGUGGGGAAUAUUGCACAAUGGGCGAAAGCCUGAUGCAGCUAUGCCGCGUGUAUGAAGAAGGCCUUAGGGGUUGUAAAGUACUUUUCAUCGGGGAGGAAAAACAAAACUAAUAAUUUUAUUUCUUGACGUUACCCGAAAAAGAAGCACCGGCUAACUCCGUGCCAGCAGCCGCGGUAAUACGGAGGGUGCUAGCGUUAAUCAGAAUUACUGGGCGUAAAGAGCACGUAGGUGGUUUUUUUAAGUCAGAUGUGAAAUCCCUGGGCUUAACCUGGAACUGCAUUUUGAAACUGAAAUACUAGAGUAUCGUAGAGGGAGGUAGAAUUCUAGGUGUAGCGGUGAAAUGCGUAGAUAUCUGGAGGAAUACCUGUGGCGAAAGCGGCCUCCUAAAUGAAUACUGACACUGAGGUGCGAAAGCGUGGGGAGCAAACAGGGAUUAGAUACC
rnacentral:rRNA from 1 species